rnacentral:rRNA from 1 species
AACGAACGCUGGCGGCAUGCCUAACACAUGCAAGUCGAACGAGACCUUCGGGUCUAGUGGCGCACGGGUGCGUAACGCGUGGGAACCUGCCCUUAGGUUCGGAAUAACUCCCCGAAAGGGGUGCUAAUACCGGAUAAUGUCUUCGGACCAAAGAUUUAUCGCCUUUGGAUGGGCCCGCGUUGGAUUAGCUAGUUGGUAGGGUAAAAGCCUACCAAGGCGACGAUCCAUAGCUGGUCUGAGAGGAUGAUCAGCCACACGGGGGAUGAGACACGGCCCAGACUGGGGCGGGAGGUAGGAGUAGGGAGGGGGGGACGAUGGGCGAAAGCGUGACAGAGCUGGGCCGCGUGAAGGAUGAAGGCAGGAGGGUCGGAAAGCGCUGUUACACGUGAGGAUAAUGACAGUACCGGGGGAGUAAGCGCCGGCUAACUCCGUG